GAUGAACGCUAGCGGCAGGCCUAACACAUGCAAGUCGAGGGAGAAGCCCUUUCGGGGGCAGAAACCGGCGCACGGGUGCGUAACGCGUAUGCAACCUACCUUUCACAGGGGGAUAGCCCGAAGAAAUUUGGAUUAAUACCCCAUAAUAUUAUUGGAUGGCAUCAUUUGAUAAUUAAAACUGCGGUGGUGAAAGAUGGGCAUGCGUCCUAUUAGCUAGUUGGAGUGGUAACGGCACCCCAAGGCUACGAUAGGUAGGGGUCCUGAGAGGGAGAUCCCCCACACUGGUAAUGAGACAGGGACCAGACUCCUACGGGAGGCAGCAGUGAGGAAUAUUGGGCAAUGGUCGGAAGACUGAACCAGCCAUGCCGCGUGCAGGAAGAAUGCCUUAUGGGUUGUAAACUGCUUUUAUAUGGGAAGAAUAAGGCGUACGUGUACGUUGAUGACGGUACCAUAUGAAUAAGCAUCGGCUAACUCCGUG
rnacentral:rRNA from 1 species